ensembl:lncRNA
UUAACGGCGCCUUAAAGCAUAUGAUAUUCACUCACGGCGACGUUAAAUGGGAGCAAGUUGACAGUAGGUCGCUCAUCUAGAUCUCUAUGGCAGAAUCCACCCCCGAUACACUGCCUUAAUAAUAACGCUAGCUUUGGUUUUGCUGUCAUAGCUAGCAGCAGGAUUUAAGAGAAGAGUCCAACUGCAGCUUGCAGCAGUCGCUCACGCCAGGCCCCCUGCUCACGCCGCGCCCCCGCUGGCACGCAACUUCCGACUUUCAGACAUGUACGGUUUGUUUUCAAGACGCAGAUGGACCAUAUUGCCAUAUUGAGUCAUGGCGGAAACAACUCCCGGGAAGCACCUGUGACUUAGCUCAUCACAUUGCUCUGGGCCAGUGGGCAACUAAAUUUGGCAAAGACAUUGAGGUGCAUCUCUCCAACAACUUAUGUACCUGGAUGCACAUGUCUAUAUUUCUGAUUUGACCCAAAAACCUUUAUAUUGCUUAUUUAACACUUUGCCCAAUUGUUGCAGGGUUUCCCUCAUCAAACUACUGUAAAUUCUUGUGGCAUCUUAAUGUUGAUGGUACAUUGCUUUUUAGUCUCUGAUUAAAGGUUUUUGGGUUUUUUUUAUUAUCUGAAAAUGAUAUAACCUCACAGAUCUUUGCCUUUUACACUUUACAGUAUGCACUCAGCCUGAGCACAGAGGCUCCAUUUUGGUUCAUUGAGGUCAGUAUUGUUCUUCUCACAUAGGAGCAAGUAUAAGAGGAACUUAAAUCCACCCUAACAUGACAUUGACUUUGGUUAAUAGUUAAUAUUUUCCAGAAGUCUAACUAAGCAUGAUCUAUAAAGUACUUUGCACUACAGUAUUAACCACACAUCAAAGAACUGUUUGUGGGACUAUUUAACAUGGCUCUAUAACUUUUUGUACUCUGCUGUAAUUGACAUGCCAAUGGUUUGCAGACAAAUAGUGAUUUGUGACUGAACAUGAACAUUACUCCUCAACUUAAUUAUUCUAUUUCUUUUAGAGGGACAUGGCACGCAUCUGAAAAUGGUGGUGCAUUAGUCUAAUGGAACAGUUCCAGAUUGACGGGUAAGACAACUCUAAAUGUUACUUCCUACAAUACAUUGCUUCUACAUUAGUUUACUUUUUUUAUUAUUUUACUAAUAUCUUACUCAAAAGCCAUGGACAGAGGUUUGCAUACUGGACUAAUGAGGCCAGAGCAUUGCUCCAAGGUUCACUGCAGCCGAUAUACAGGGUCAGCAAGAGGGAACAUGAGGUGAGCAUGAUGAUGGCAGAGGACACCCAGUGGCCUUAUCCUGUCUUGAUUAAUUCAUUAAAAAAACGUAAGGUUGUUUUAUAUAUAUAAAACAGCCUUACGUUUUUUUUAUAAUAUACAUUUCUUUUUUUUUAUAUAAUAUCAUUUUCCUCAAAAGGUUUCGAUUAGAAAAGGAUGACAGGUGCAUCAUAUUGGAGGUAAUGUUUACUUACUGCUUACACUGUUUACUGGCAAUAUUAGCCAAUAAACACGGCACACCUCCCUUUAUCCUUGCACUAUUGGACUUAUUUGCACUACCACCAUGACACACACUAUAGAGCACCUUAUGCACAAUAAUUGCCCUGUCACUGCAAGAGUCUCAUGCUUAUACAUCCCUUAGUACAGUCAUAUCAAUAUCAGGGCAAUGCGUUAUGAUAGAUGUUCUCACCAAUAAUUGUUAAUUUUCAUAUUUCUGCUAUGCUAUGAUUGUUGCCAUUUGUACAGGCAAUAGUGUAGUCAGUGUGUUGUCUUUACUAUGCUUGAUUUUGCCUGACCUGUAUUUUACAGUUACCAACGUGUGUGCUUUCUGAAAUCCUAAAUGAAGUGGUACUACAGGAAGGAGAUAAGGCAUACUUAAGAUUGGCUCUUGUGUGUCCACUGACUCCUUCAGGAGACGGGCACAUUUUCAGUGGCUUGACAGUAAGUGUUUAAAUAAAGGGUGCUGUGGUAUACAAUACUUGAGUACCUCACGUGUGUUUUCACUAACCUUAUGGAAAUGUUCACUUUUGAUUGAUAAUUUGUUUUUCACAGGUGUCGCUACAUGGAGCAGGUUUUCUGAGUCCUAAAGAAAAGAAUUCUACACCAUGUACACCGUGGACACCUGUCGUGAAUGUGGAAUGCUUUUCAAAAACUGCACACCUGGUAAACAUCUUAACACUGGAUGGAUUUGAAUCUAUGUCAUUACACUCAGUAUUGAUGUCAUAACUACGCUUAGACCACAUCCUGAGUCUAGUGGUCACUGGUCAGUAUAAUCAUCAUUCUGUUUUUUCUUUUUCUUUUACAGGAUAUGUUGGAACAGGACAAAGGGGUGUACUUGAAGCAGUUUACUCAGAAGGUUACUGCGAUCACUUUUGCCGCCAAAUGCAAUAGGUAAAAAGAAGGUGUUUGUGUGUAACAAAGGGGUCUGGGGGAAAAAAUAAUUGAAUAUGUAUUUGCUACAUUUAUUUACUUAUUUUCUCUUUCAGUGAGAAUGGACAGGUAUACUAACUGUUGGCAGACAACCCUGAGCCAGCUGGGUGUUUUUCAAGCUGCAGGCCCCCGUGACAAUUUGUGGCUGGAAACUUGGGAUUGAAUUUUGAAUUCUCCAGUGUUAUUACAGACUGUUAAUUAAUUGUUUAUGACAAAAAAGAGAUGUCAUAUGUUUAAACAACCUUUGGGUGAACUUUUUGUAUAAUUUUAAAAAUGUUAAAACUAACAUCUAUUGAGAGUCUACUUUAUGCUUUUUUGGUUUUAAUAACGUCCUGUUCAAUGUGUAAUAAAAUUCAAAUCCUCUGAAUAUUGAGUCCAUUUCUGAACACUAGGGAGAUCGUGUGUACAACUGGUGAUCCGGUUUAUUGAAUGCAUUGCACCAAUAUGAUUUCUACCCAGAGCUGUACAUUUAUCAUUUGUUAAUAUUAUAAUACAGACAGUCUGACAUUUCCAUACCCACAGGAUUAAAGGGCC